rnacentral:rRNA from 1 species
GACGAACGCUGGCGGCGUGCUUAACACAUGCAAGUCGAACGGAAAGGCCCUGCUUUCGUGGGGUGCCCGAGUGGCGAACGGGUGUGUAACACGUGAGUAUCCUGCCUUUGACUUUGGGAUAACUUCAGGAAACUGGGGCUAAUACAGGAUAGGAGCUCCUGCUGCAUGGUGGGGGUUGGACAGUUUCGGCGGAUGGGGAUGGACUCGCGGCUUAUUAGCUUGUUGGUGGGGUAGUGGCUUACCAAGGCUUUGACGGGUAGCCGGCCUGAGAGGGCGACCGGCCACAUUGGGACUGAGGUACGGCGCAGACGCGUACGGGAGGCAGCAGUGGAGAAUAUUGCACAAUGAGCGGAAGCCUGAUGCAGCAACGCCGCGUGCGGGAUGACGGCCUUCGGGUUGUAAACCGCUUUCGCCUGUGACGAAGCGUGAGUGACGGUAAUGGGUAAAGAAGCACCGGCUAACUACGUG